rnacentral:lncRNA from 1 species
CAUAAAUAAUGCAGUUUUUUUUAGAGAGCCUAAUGAAGAAGCCAGUUGUCAGCAUGAAAAUGUUAUAAAAAAUUUCAUUUAUAUAACAGACAUGUUGUUUAUUAUCUGGAAUAUCCAAGUUCAAUUCUGGAUCCUAUAUCUACAUAUGCAUUUAAAGAAUGCUGAUAAAACCUGCCAACCCCAUUCUUCAAGAGGCCAUAAAGGUAAAGUAAGCAAUUACUGCUUUAGAGGAUCCCAGUUCAAUUUCAGGUUCCACAUCUCCAAAUUUUUCAAGAGAGGUCCCAUUCUAGCCUGUUAACUGUACUGUUGUGUGGGAUAGGUCAUGGUGGGUGAUGACUUAGUAACUGCUGAUUGGAAAAUGGCAUAAAGUU